rnacentral:rRNA from 1 species
AGAGUUUGAUCCUGGCUCAGAUUGAACGCUGGCGGCAUGCCUUACACAUGCAAGUCGAACGGUAACAGGGAGCUUGCUCCGCUGACGAGUGGCGAACGGGUGAGUAAUAUAUCGGAACGUACCAUUCAGUGGGGUAUAACGUAGCGAAAGUUACGCUAAUACCGCAUAUUCUGUGAGCAGAAAGCAGGGGAUCGCAAGACCUUGCGCUGAUUGAGCGGCCGAUAUCAGAUUAGCUAGUUGGUGAGGUAAAAGCUCACCAAGGCGACGAUCUGUAGCGGGUCUGAGAGGAUGAUCCGCCACACUGGAACUGAGACACGGUCCAGACUCCUACGGGAGGCAGCAGUGGGGAAUUUUGGACAAUGGGGGCAACCCUGAUCCAGCCAUGCCGCGUGAGUGAAGAAGGCCUCCGGGUUGUAAAGCUCUUUCAGCCGGGAAGAAAACGCAUGGGUUAAUACCCUGUGUGGAUGACGGUACCGGAAUAAGAAGCACCGGCUAACUACGUGCCAGCAGCCGCGGUAAUACGUAGGGUGCGAGCGUUAAUCGGAAUUACUGGGCGUAAAGCGUGCGCAGGCGGUUUUGUAAGACAGGCGUGAAAUCCCCGGCUUAACCUGGGAACUGCGUUUGUGACUGCAAGGCUAGAGUACGGCGGAGGGGGGUGGAAUUCCACGUGUAGCAGUGAAAUGCGUAGAGAUGUGGAGGAACACCAAUGGCGAAGGCAGCCCCCUGGGUCGAUACUGACGCUCAUGCACGAAAGCGUGGGUAGCAAACAGGAUUAGAUACCCUGGUAGUCCACGCCCUAAACGAUGUCAACUAGGUGUUGGGAGGGUAAAACCUUUUAGUACCGGAGCUAACGCGUGAAGUUGACCGCCUGGGGAGUACGGCCGCAAGGUUAAAACUCAAAGGAAUUGACGGGGACCCGCACAAGCGGUGGAUGAUGUGGAUUAAUUCGAUGCAACGCGAAAAACCUUACCUACCCUUGACAUGCCAAGAACUUUCCAGAGAUGGAUUGGUGCCCGAAAGGGAACUUGGACACAGGUGCUGCAUGGCUGUCGUCAGCUCGUGUCGUGAGAUGUUGGGUUAAGUCCCGCAACGAGCGCAACCCUUGUCGUUAAUUGCCAUCAUUUAGUUGGGCACUUUAACGAGACUGCCGGUGACAAACCGGAGGAAGGUGGGGAUGACGUCAAGUCCUCAUGGCCCUUAUGGGUAGGGCUUCACACGUCAUACAAUGGUCGGUACAAAGGGUCGCCAAGCCGCGAGGUGGAGCCAAUCCCAGAAAGCCGAUCGUAGUCCGGAUCGCAGUCUGCAACUCGACUGCGUGAAGUCGGAAUCGCUAGUAAUCGUGGAUCAGCAUGUCACGGUGAAUACGUUCCCGGGUCUUGUACACACCGCCCGUCACACCAUGGGAGCGGGUUCCGCCA